UAAGACGAACCGUGCGAACGUUAUUCGGAAUCACUGGGCUUAAAGCGCGUGUAGGCGGGCCGGCACGUCGGGUGCUGAAAGCCCCCGGCUCAACCGGGGAAGCGGCCUCGAUACGACCGGCCUGGAGGGGGGUAGGGGGAGCCGGAACUUCCGGUGGAGCGGUGAAAUGCGUUGAGAUCGGAAGGAACGCCCGUGGCGAAAGCGGGCUCCUGGACCCCACCUGACGCUGAGACGCGAAAGCCAGGGGAGCGAACGGGAUUAGAUACCCCGGUAGUCCUGGCCGUAAACCAUGGGCACUGGGUAGGGGAUUCGCCGAUGGAUUCCCUGCCGCAGCGAAAGCGUGAAGUGCCCCGCCUGGGGAGUAUGGUCGCAAGGCUG
rnacentral:rRNA from 1 species